rnacentral:lncRNA from 1 species
AUCUUAUGUUGAGUCUCUGGGAUUGUAUAGAGUUUAGUAAGAAAUUGUAUUAUCAAGGAUCACUAUGACUUUAAUGUACAACAUUUUAUUAUCAAUGAAUUAAUAUUUGUUUGUUCAUAUUAGUUUCAUUUUAUGAUUGAAUGGAACAAAUUUUUUAUAAAACUAGCACAGACAUACAUACAUUAAAAGUACAUCACCAGGCAUAGGUCAGCUUUCUCACGUGACCGACCAUCUUAGGCACC